GUGAGCUGAUGGAUGACUGACAUCAGGAAGUGUUCACAACUGGCUGCUUGCAGAAGCCUUUGAGGAGCAAUGGAGCUGUGGUUUCCUUCCUUAUGAAACACCCAGUUUCUAGCAGCUGGACCUGGCUGCUGAACUGGAGACUUAGAAGAACAGGAGCAGAAAGGGUGAAGACCUACCUGGUAACAGCUUGUCCUGCUUCCCCAGUAGGGUCUGCUUCUCAACCCAGGUCUUCAGAGCCAGGUUCUCCCAUGGCACAGACAUCCCAACUCAUCCACCACUGACUGUCCUCCUAUGCCCAGGCUUUCUUCCCAGGGCUGGUUCAGGAUUCUGCUGAGCAUGGUUGAGUGUGGUGACGUAUCCCUGGACUUCAAGAGCCCAGUCCUGGACAGGAGAGCACAAACAACUCCUGCAAGCUGGAAAGCCUUUCCCAGUAAUUCCCAAACACAGAAAUAUGUGCCUGCAAUGUGGCACUUUUUAGAAUGGCAUCCACUCAGAUGGUGGAGGAUCCAUCACAGCCCAGGGUGAGUAAUUCCAAUGGGUCAUUACUCUUUCAAUUACAAACUGGCACCUUCCUUGCAGUUUGAAUUUGCCUAAUUCUGGCUUCCAGCCAUUGGAUGUU
rnacentral:lncRNA from 14 species